rnacentral:rRNA from 1 species
UGGGGAAUUUUGCGCAAUGGGGGAAACCCUGACGCAGCGACGCCGCGUGGAGGAUGACGGCCUUCGGGUUGUAAACUCCUGUCAGAAGGGACGAAAUCCCGCAAGGGACUGACGGUACCUUCAGAGGAAGCCCCGGCUAACUACGUGCCAGCAGCCGCGGUAAUACGUAGGGGGCAAGCGUUGCUCGGAAUUACUGGGCGUAAAGGGUGAGUAGGCGGUCGAGCAAGUCAAGGAUGAAAUCCCGAGGCUCAACUUCGGAAUUGUUCUUGAAACUGUUCGGCUUGAGGAUAGUUGAGGAGAGUGGAAUUCCCGGUGGAGCGGUGAAAUGCGUAGAUAUCGGGAGGAACACCUGAGGCGAAGGCGGCUCUCUAAGCUACUCCUGACGCUGAAUCACGAAAG